GAUGAACGCUGACAGCAUGCUUAACACAUCAGCGAUGGAUUGGUGGCGGACGGGUACGUAACGCGUACAGAACUUAACUCACCGUUAGGGCCAACAUUUGGAAACGGAUACUAAUACCUAUUACUUUGAGAGAGCUUUGCGUCCCAUUAGCUAGUUGGAUAGGUAACGGCUCACCAAGUCGAGGAUGGGUACCCGGCCUGAGAGGGUGAUCGGCCACAAGCUGCCUGGGACACGGCCCUUACUCCUACUGCAGGCAGCAGCGGGGAAUAUUGGACAAUGGACCAAAGUCUGAUCAAGCAAUUCGGUUUGCAAGAGGAAGUUUUCGGAAUGUAAAGUGUGUUGAGUUGGGAAGCGGUACCAACAGAAGAAGCCACGGCUAACUACGUGCCAGCAGCCGCGGUAAUUC
rnacentral:rRNA from 1 species